rnacentral:misc_RNA from 1 species
GCAAAGUAUCAUAAACACAAGUAAACAAAGAUGGAUUAAUAGCAAAUGAGGUAUAUAUGCUUGGACACAAUCAAGAACACAAUGGGAAAACAAAAAAUCUUACUUAAAUAACUUAAGUUUGCAUUUGGAUUGAUAAUCAAUUGUAAUAGAGGGAUUUGAAUUUUAUACAUUAACUUCAGGUUUUAUAAAAUAUAUAGAAUUUCUUUGAUUAGGUGGGCUCACCAAAUGCAUAAAUAAAAUUAUAGUUUUUGUUAUGCAAUUUUUUAAGACAUUUAUCACGUUGCAACAAAAGCCAGGGGGAAACAAAAUCACCUUUGCCCCCUCAUUCUUCAAUCUAUAUGCCAGCUUUCCUGCAAAAGUAGAUAGGAGAUCAUCAUUUUUUUUCCCCAAUCCUUAACCUUGCCAACUGCCACGCUUCAAGGUAUCAAUUAAAAAAUCUAAGAUCCUCCUUUUUUGAAACAUUAAGUUCUGUCACCAACAUUAACAUCAAUUUUAAGAAAAUGACAAUCAAAAUGUAUAAUGGGAGGAAUCUUUUUUAACGUUUCCUUUCUGAAUAUUGAGGAAACCUCAGCUCUUGACGUGUUAAUAUCUCAAUCUCUUACCAAGAGACGUUGUCUUCCCACCUCCAUUGACGCCAACUAUCAUAACAACAGCCGGCUUCCUGCUAGCAUAAUAUGUACCGAUGCCAACUACAAAUUAAAGCCUAGCUUUGCUAACAAACAAGAAUUAAUAAUCAAAUAAGAGCAAAAAGGAGCAAAUUUGAGUAAAUGAGAUACCCAUAACCUGAAUCCAAGCUGAAGAUCAACCUUAUUUCCUUUCUUAAUUAACAAAUCAAGUACAAUCCUCUUCAAAGCAUCCUUAAUUUCGCUGCCUGAUUUGAGCUUCCCAGCUAGUAUAUCCUCCCUCAAGCUCUCCACAAUCUUAAUAGUGAUUCUUGGCCCAAAAUCAGAUACUAAUAGUACCUCCUCGAGUUCGUCGAGGACUCGGUCGGUCUCGGCGAGGUUCCAAUAGAGGAGGAGUUCGUCAAUAACGGCUAGGUUGUCUCUGGUUUUAGAGAAUCCUGAGAAGAUUUUCUCCACGUCGCUUUUGGCCUUCUCUUUUAUCAACCUGCCAAGUCGUGUGAAGAACCCGCUCUGGCUAGCCAGGCAUUUGAACCGU